AUAGUAUAAUAGAAUCUUUUUUGUUGCAGGCGACACUGUGUUUCUGCUAUCGGCCACCGUCGGAAUUUUUCUUCGCCGUCUUGUAAACCAGUCGAACCGAUUUCCACAAUCAUUUGAGUUUUGAACACGAUUCAACGUCGACGUACAUCCAGAUACAGCCUACAGUGUGGUCAGUGUUCUGUUCGCUACGCCAUUUGCACGUGUUGUCAACAGUCUUCGUCGCAGUUUUCAACGUUUCGAAGGUCAAUACAAGCGACACUGUGUUUCUGCUAUCGGCCACCGUCGGAAUUUUUCUUCGCCGUCUUGUAAACCAGUCGAACCGAUUUCCACAAUCAUUUGAGUUUUGAACACGAUUCAACGUCGACGUACAUCCAGAUACAGCCUACAGUGUGGUCAGUGUUCUGUUCGCUACGCCAUUUGCACGUGUUGUCAACAGUCUUCGUCGCAGUUUUCAACGUUUCGAAGGUCAAUACAAGCGACACUGUGUUUCUGCUAUCGGCCACCGUCGGAAUUUUUCUUCGCCGUCUUGUAAACCAGUCGAACCGAUUUCCACAAUCAUUUGAGUUUUGAACACGAUUCAACGUCGACGUACAUCCAGAUACAGCCUACAGUGUGGUCAGUGUUCUGUUCGCUACGCCAUUUGCACGUGUUGUCAACAGUCUUCGUCGCAGUUUUCAACGUUUCGAAGGUCAAUACAAGCGACACUGUGUUUCUGCUAUCGGCCACCGUCGGAAUUUUUCUUCGCCGUCUUGUAAACCAGUCGAACCGAUUUCCACAAUCAUUUGAGUUUUGAACACGAUUCAACGUCGACGUACAUCCAGAUACAGCCUACAGUGUGGUCAGUGUUCUGUUCGCUACGCCAUUUGCACGUGUUGUCAACAGUCUUCGUCGCAGUUUUCAACGUUUCGAAGGUCA